rnacentral:rRNA from 1 species
GUGGGGAAUCUUCCGCAAUGGACGAAAGUCUGACGGAGCAACGCCACGUGAGUGAUGAAGGUCUUCGGAUUGUAAAGCUCUGUUAAUCGGGACGAAAGAGCCUAGUGUGAAUAAUGCUAGGAAGUGACGGUACCGGAAUAGAAAGCCACGGCUAACUACGUGCCAGCAGCCGCGGUAAUACGUAGGUGGCAAGCGUUGUCCGGAAUUAUUGGGCGUAAAGCGCGCGCAGGCGGAUCUGCCAGUCUGUCUUAAAAGUUCGGGGCUUAACCCCGUGAUGGGAUGGAAACUACAGAUCUAGAGUAUCGGAGAGGAAAGUGGAAUUCCUAGUGUAGCGGUGAAAUGCGUAGAUAUUAGGAAGAACACCAGUGGCGAAGGCGACUUUCUGGACGAAAACUGACGCUGAGGCGCGAAAGCCAGGGGAGCGAACGGGAUUAGAUACCCUGGUAGUCCC